rnacentral:rRNA from 1 species
UGGGGAAUAUUGCACAAUUGGCGCAAGCCUGAUGCAGCCAUGCCGCGUGUAUGAAGAAGGCCUUCGGGUUGUAAAGUACUUUCAGCGGGGAGGAAGGGAGUAAAGUUAAUACCUUUGCUCAUUGACGUUACCCGCAGAAGAAGCACCGGCUAACUCCGUGCCAGCAGCCGCGGUAAUACGGAGGGUGCAAGCGUUAAUCGGAAUUACUGGGCGUAAAGCGCACGCAGGCGGUUUGUUAAGUCAGAUGUGAAAUCCCCGGGCUCAACCUGGGAACUGCAUCUGAUACUGGCAAGCUUGAGUCUCGUAGAGGGGGGUAGAAUUCCAGGUGUAGCGGUGAAAUGCGUAGAGAUCUGGAGGAAUACCGGUGGCGAAGGCGGCCCCCUGGACGAAGACUGACGCUAAGGUGCGAAAGCGUGGGGAGCAAACAGG